CUGAUAAACCUAAAAUUGCUGUUGUGAAAAGAGCAUUGCCACAGUAUCCGGCUGGCAAUGGUGGGUUCAAUCUAGAUCGCCCAUCUGUUGGAAUGUGUAGUUUUGUUGCUUGGUCGUUCGAGAUUCCACGUGCCUUGCAGGUGCAUUGCCAAAUAUGUGCUGCUAGGGUUUCAAAGGUGCUGUGGUUGAUAGUGCCAUCACCAACGUCUUUUCUAGACUUGUUUUUUAGGGUUUGGAGUUGAUCAAAUGUGAUGGUUAGGAUUUUUGCACAAGUGGGUUUCGGAUUUGAUUGGAUUUCUAGGGUUUGGUCACCGGAGUUAUGGGUGUUCAAGGUAGGAGGGGGGUCGUAUUCUACGUGGUGCAUAGCGGGGAUAGGCGGAGCUCGAGCGUCAAGCAAGGUACGGUCAAUGAACGGUGGGGUGGUAAGAGACAGUCCUCUCGCUAUUUCAGACCACGAGUUGAUAAAAUGGAUUGCAGAAGUUCCAUCUCCCAAGAUAUGGUGUAAGCCAACUCCAAGACAUACUCCUCCACAUUUGAAGAAGGUUGCCUGUUAGCAACAUACACAGCACGUCAAUCAUAAACAAAAAACAUAUUUUUCAAACUCAAUAUAAAUAAAUAGAAAAACUAGUUUUUUUCAUUUUCAAUAUAGAAAAAAUUCUCUUCCUCCGAGUAGCCUAUAAAACUACUGUCUAAAUACAAAAAAAAAUGCUAAUAAAUAAAAUUCUAAAUAAAAAGGAAUAAAAAAAACAAGAUAAAUAAAGAAGAUCUUGAGUAUAACUUCUUAGCUGAAUUUAGAUAUGCGUUCUGACUCAACUGAAUAAUUAAUUUGUCUUCUAAUACUUAAAGCUGGUAACAGGUUCUUUGCAUCUCACUUGAUAUAUUCUAUAAUUAAUCCUUAAACAUCCUUCCCAUGUUAUGAGUACUUUGCCUUGGAUUGGUUAAAAACCCUAUAGAACACAAAUAAUUUCAAUACUUCUGAACAAAAUCCAAAGAAAUCAUAAAACUCACCUGUGCGAGUAGUAGAGGAUAGGAAAAUAUGCUUGAACGAUCGACUUCUGGAAUGAACUGCAGCAUCUCAGAGCGGGGAGUAAAAUCCCCCAGUUCAUCAAUGGUGGAGCUUGUUUCAGCCUCGACAAAUAGAACUCCUCUGGCAUUACACAAUAUCGACAUCCUACCAUUUUCAUCCUUCUCUAACCUCCCUGCCAUAUGGUGGAAUGGCACAAGAGCCUUGCUCAGAGCCUCCUUGAGCACUUGAGGGUCAAAAAAAGUGGAAGAACCAUUGACCGGCUUGUAGAAGUAUACUGUUGGGAUGUGUACCAUUGGCACCAAGAGGUCCAGAUUUGAGCUCCAUAGGCUUUUUUCCGGCGUGUCUUCGGCAGGUCGCACGACAGUUGACGCUUUUAUUCGAAUUUCAACUCUUACCAUCUGCAUAUUUGCAACAAAAUCAUGUUAAAGUCCUGUCUGUUCAUAUAUGCUGUUUAAAUUGUUGAAAAUCAACUCCAGGUUUGCUUAGCUUAGUAAAUUGCAGUAUAUGUUAAACAUUAAUGAAGCAGAAUUAAAUAUUAAACUCAUACUUUAUUCGCCUGGCUAGAAUUUUCUUCUUAGAAGAACAAAACAAGAUAGAGAGGGGGGGGGGGGUGUUGUACGCAGAUGAGGACGACCACUCGUAUUUAUAGAAGAAAAAAAAGAAAGGAAGGAAGAAACGAGGGAGUGAAGGCAGCCUUGAAGCUUCAAAUUAAAAACCAUUUGGGCUCGCGGCAGUUCAACCGUGUUUUUCUAAUUUAUUUUUUUAUAUUUUAAAAAUAUUUUGAUAUAAUAAUAUAAAAAAUUAUUAUUUUAUAAUUAAUAUUGUUGUCUCAAGAAUAGUGUUAUUUUUUAAUAUAUAUUAUCUCGUUGAUUCAGGAUAUCCAAAAAAAUACUAUUACUUAGAUCCAUAUAAAAAGAAUAAGAGAUAUUAUCUUUCAGAAUUUCAUCGACGACGAUAACCACAAAGUCGAGAGGAAAUAUUCAACCAUAUCCAUUUAUCAUUACGAUGAGUAAUAGAACGUAUAUUUGAAGUUUGGAAGAAAAGGUGGAGAAUCUUGCAAAACAUACUUGAGUUUCCUUACAAAACACAAGUUAAAAUUGGUAUUGCAUCAAUGGCACUGCAUAGCUACAUUCGAAGGAAGUCGAGCCAAGAUGUUGCAUUUAACGAGUUUGAUAUUCAUUUUGAUUUUGUUCCUCCUGAUACUUUAACCGAUAUGGUUCCACAAUCACAACCACGUGGGCACCAGAAAGCUUUGUGUAUGAAUUAUGUUUUGUGAUGGCAUUGCAAAUAGUUUGAUGGGACAAUAAUAUUUAUUUUUUAAUGUAAAAAAAUGAUUUUAUUUUUCUGCUAGUUUUUGUUUGGAUUAAAUAUUUUGUUUCCUCUUAAAACAAAGAAUAAAUUCAUUUAUUUUCUUUUUAGUCAUUUUAUAUACAACAUUAUCCGCAACUAUAAUUUUAACCAAACAUAUCAUGUCAUGAUUUUUGGCAAAAUAAAAUCAAAUCAUAAUUUUAACCAAACACAUAUUAUAUACGCACCAACCACACAAAAAAAUAAUUUUUUCAAAAUUACUUUUUAUAAAUCAUAACUAUCACAAUUACCACAAAAACAAAAAUAUAUAUCCAUUGAGAUGUUAUACUGUGUACGAUAAAAGUACAAUUUGCGGUCGCUAUUUUUUUUAUCUUUUGAUUCUUAGAUUUAAAAAUUACAUUGACAAUCAACAUUUACAUUGACAAAGUAAAAAAAUCAAAUUAGUAAUUAACAAUAACCAUAACAAUUAUUUGUCAAAUAGUUGCAAUAAUAAAUAGACAAUUACUUAAAGUGCCGCUAAAUAGGAUAUUCGGCCUUAAAAAUAUAGUUAUUUUUGAAAGUGUAUUUUUUAAUAUUUAAAUAAUAUUUUUUUUUUUUUUAAUAUAAACAUAUUAAAAUAAUCUUUAAAAAAUAAGGCAGAUUCCUUGUCAGAAAGAAAUUAAUGUAGGGGGAUUAUUGUGGGACCUCAGUACGAGAUUUCGUGUCUUACGUGUCUACCAUUUACCCACUAAGGCAGAUUCCUUGUCAGAAAGGACAGAUGCAACUGUGCUAGACUGCUAGCAUCUACGACAUGCAAUGAGCUGCCUGCCACCUGUCUCUGGCAGUUCUGUCUUUUUCUUUCUCUGUACUGCCAACGCUAAUUAUUGGACAUUUUUACUGCCUUUGAUUGUCCUCCUCCUUCCUUGAUGCCCCCCCAGUCCCACCUCCUAUUUCCGUUUUUCACAAUUAUAAUGGUAUUUUUUUAUUUCGGGAUAUUCGGUAAUAUUAAUAAUUCAAAAUAUUAGUUUAAAAAAUAUAAUAUUAAUUCAAACACAAAUAUAAACAAACUUAAAUUUAUACAAUUCAAAUCUCAAAUACAAAUAAAAAAAUAUAAGUUAAAUCAAUUUAUUUUUUAAAUCUUAAAUAUAAACUUGAAAAAUAUAAUUGAACGGAAUAAAAUUACGAUUUGAAAAAGUAUAUGGCUACAUGUUAACAAAAAGAUAUCUUGUUUUACCAGUGAAGUGGAUUGCGCAAGUGGACUGCUGGAACAUGUCAAUAUAUAUAUAGUAUGUUUUUAAGAACAUAUAUGUAAUAUCGGUUGAGAUCAAGUUAAAUAAAAAAUAUAUUUAAUAGUUGAAUAAAAAAGACAAUUCUAAUCUGUUAAAUUAUUUUUUUAUUAAAAAUCAUUUUCAAAUGUUUUUUAUUUUAAUAUAUUAUAUUUUAAAAUAAUGAAAAGAAUUUCUUUUAUUGAAUUGGGAUAUUUGAAAGAAUAAUAAUAAUUGCUUUUUAACAUGUUUUUUUUAAUAUAUUAAAAUAAUAUUUUUUUUUAAAAAAAUUAUUUUUUAUAUAAACACAUCAAAACCAUUUAUAAAUAAAAAAAAUAAUUUAAAAAAAAAAAAAAACAAAAAACCAAACUUUCCUACUGAAAAAACACUUCCCAUGAGGAAGCUUGUGAAAUUGGUCUCCAGAUGCAUGCCUGCUACAUUACGGCAGCCGUGUGAACUCCACGGAUGAGGUUGAAUGUUCGUGGGCCCCUCCCUUACGUUGGCCCGGGCUAGCUGUGUGUAAUUAAUGUUUAUUGUUUUAUAUAUUAUAUCGCUAUCAGUAAUAAAUUUAAAAAAGCAUUUUAAUAUAUUUCUAUAAAAAAAACAAUUAUUAUCACCCUUUUAAAUACUUCAUUAAAAUAAUUUAAUAUAUAUUUAUUAAACAACGGAUUUACCGCCCGAGUCAAAAUGAUGAUUUAAUUCGACCGGCACCCUCAUUCCCCCAUUAAAAGCCCCUAGCAAGCUUGCUUAGCCUAACCAGAGGCCGCCUACCAGAGUCCUUCCUUCCAGAUAAUCAUAAAACAUUCAACAGAGAUUUUGUGCUAGGAAAAACUCCCAGAAAGUAAGCUAGGGACUUCUCUUAAUGAUAUGCUAUCAGUGAAAUUUUGGGAUCUCGGAUCCGCUUUAACUCAGUAGAAAGCAGCUCAUGAAGUAUUGCUUCAAAUAUCAUACAUAGGUAAGUUAACUUCACUGUCAAACUUAGGAGAGAUGGAUUGCAGAUCAUAUGCGAUUCAUGCUGUGAAUAUUAUAACAAAAUGAUACUAUACUAGUUUAAAGGAUUUCAUAGUCAUAUAUAUACACCCUGAAAUGCCACCAGCUGUGGAUUUCGGAUUCCUUUGUAAGGCUCCAAGGCGCAGGCAUCACUCAUGCGAAGCUGGCAACAAUGGCAGCAGAGCUGUCCUACUGUUCAAGCUUCAAGGUAGCAUAUUUGGAUAACAGCUCCUGCAUGAAAUUGGUUAACUGAUGUUUAGAGAAAAUUUCAAUUAUCUUAGUUAUCAUGAACUUAGCAUUUGAAGAGUACCUGAUCUUCAGCUUCCAUCCCCUCGGCGUUUUGCUUCUGAGCCCACUUCUUUGCAUUUCUUUCCAGCAAAACAUAUUUCAUCACCUGCAACAAAAACCAAAUCAGUGUAGGAUCAAAACAGUUUACCGAACUCCUGAGAAGCGUUUUCCCUUUGCCAUCCUAUGUGCAAUUCAUGAUGUUACGAGACUGAGACUGUACAUCCAGUAAUUUUGUUUUGGUGGUCUGGGAUAGGUAGAACUCUGCUCUAGCUUCCUCCUGGUUCAAGCACCGAUCAACCUGAGAAAAUAGAAAGAGAACGAAUUAUAGGUUGUUACAUAAACAUAGAAUUGACUUCUUUGGGAUGCCAAAGUUUCGAGCAUUACUGACCUUCCGCAGGUAAUUGGAGAAGGAAUCACCCCAAAACCACCACUCCAAAGAUAGCUGAGAGUAGUAAGCAGCAGCUUCUGCUAGCAUUAUCUGCUCCAAUUUUUCAUAAUAGUUGGUGGUUCCAUUCCCUCCAACCUCUAAAAAGAAAUCAAGUACCCUCUUUAGUAGGUUCCGAUCAAUCUGCCCCCCUUCACGCUCUUGAAUGAUCUGCCCGUAAAGUCAUAUGCAGGGUUAAACCAACCUCAGAAAGAAGACAACCCAUUAUGAAACAACCAGUGAAUGCUAACUGACCAGCCUCAUCAUUGCUUCCUGCAAUUUACUGAAUAGCUCAUCACAGACCUGAAAAUAAGAUUGGAUAUGAUGCUCAGCCAAAUUGUGUAAGAGAACAGAAGCAAGAAUAAGAACUAAACUACUUCAUGUAGUUACUUACCAAAUUGCAGAAGUAAUAUCUCAUGGAGUCAGCAGGUGAUGGAUGUCUUUUCCUACGGAUGUAGAAAUUAUCCAGGUCUGCAAAGGUUUCUGACAAUUCCUUAUACUCCAGCCAUAAUCGCGUGAUUUCUGUUAAAAGCUCUGUACCAUGUUUGUCCAUUAACACUGGAAGUACCUGAAAGAGCAUGCAAGGAUGGAAAACAACGGGAUGUGUUCAUUAUUAUAUUCAUUGCACUUUGACAAAGAUGAAAGCAAAAGAAAUUGAAACCCUUCUCAACUGCCACGUCUCAUUUCUCCACUUGUGUAAAUUACAAAGACCACCAAUCCAGACUAAGCUAGAUAGCGAGAGAAAACAAAAUUGGGCAUGCAUAAUCAUGAGUAAAGCAUCUUGCAAAAUUAUCCUAUGAAAUAAGUUAUAAACAAGAGAGCAUGUCAUAGUAAGAGUUUCUCAUACUUUGACAUUCUUAGCCAACACAUUUAAGAUACAUGAGAGCCAAUUCUACCAGAGAAAUUAUGCAGAAGCGAAGAAACUGGAAGAAUUAUUGAUUAUAUAUGGUAGAAAUCUCACCCUUUCUUGAAUUAUCUCACUUAAACAGUUCGUAUACUUCUCAUAAACCAGGCUGCAAGAGUCCCCACGCUUCCUUGUGCACAAAUUGUAUACACACCUAUCACAAGUGUUAAGGAUAUGCCAAUUCUCGGCAACUAAAAUCACAUUCAGGAAUAUUGAUUUAUCUCGUCGAGUAGAAAAAAAAUUAACAUAUCAAACUUCGACAUGUAAGUAAACCAUAUUGCAGGAUACUCAUAAGCAAUCAUUUUUUCCGCAGGUGUAAAUGGAAUCACAGGGUGUCCAUCCAUAAUCAUCUUCUUCUUCGUAAUUAUAUCAUCUAUCUUCUUUAGCUUCUCAUUCAACAUCAUGUCAGCAUCCAUCUUCAUUUAGCUGCAGUCGAAAACAUUUAAAAUUGUAAUGAUCGCAGUUCAAAAUCAAAGAAAGAGAUAGCAUGCAUAUCUGUAUUGCACACUCAUCCGACUAUUUCUCAUUUUCCUUUUAAAAAUAGAAUUUCUAAAGUCUACAAUAGCAUCCAAAACCCUUUGAACAGACUAGAAAGUUUCUGGCGUUGACAAUUAAACUUUAUACCAAACAAACUACAUCCAAGGUCCUGUUCUAUAGGGAAGUGAAGAAAAAAGUGGGGUUUGCAUUAUACUUAUAGGGAAAGCAGCUUGCAGGGGAAGUUGAAGGGAAAGGUGGGGCUUGCAUAUACUUGUAAGGAGAAGCCACCUUGCAGUGAAAGUUGAUAGGACAUAGGUCCAUAGACCAUACGCUGUUGUUUAUUAUGUAAUAAUUGUUGUAUUUUUUAAAAAUAUUUUUAUUCAAAAAUAUAUUAAAAUAAUAUUUUUUAAAUUUUUAAUAUUAUUAUAUUAAAAUUAUAUUAAAAAAAAACAUGUUAAUUUGAUAUUUUUUUCAUAUACAAAAUAAUUUUAAAAAUAAUUUGAAUUAAUUUAAAUAAAAUUCAAUAAAGCAUAAAUAAUGAUAGCCAUAGUUGUAAAAAACUACUUAAAUGAAUUCAUUUGAUUCAAGAUUCAGAUCGAGAAUUAAGUGGUUUAAUAUGUAAAUUAAUUUAUAAAUUAUAAUUUAAAAAAUAAAAAUAUAAAAUGAUGUUAUUUUAAAUAUUUUUCUAAACAAUGUUAUUUUGGUUAUAUAUAAAAAAAACAAUUCAAAUAAAACUUGAUGUAAACCACAUUUUGGGUCAAUGAAUUACUAGAUUGGCAAGUCAGACAAAGUCAAUUUUUAUAAUUAUGAUAGUAAAGGCUAAGUUGCUUAGUGAAAAAUGGCACUAAAAUAUAAUAUGUGUUUAGAAAUGUGGUAAUUUUUAUUUUUAUGUGUGUUUUAAAAGUGUAUUUUAUUUGAAAAGAAAGACAAAUAGUAAAUUGAUAUUAUUUUAGUGUUUUUUUUUAUAAUUUUAAUGUGUUGAUAUCAAAAAUAAAUAAAUAAAUCUAAAAAAAAAUAUUUGAUGUAUUUUCAAGCAAAAACUAUUUUAAAAAAAAUAUUUUACAUCACAAUACCAAACAUAUAUUAUUCAAAUUGAGGACUAAGUGGUUUAAACCGUAGAUUAAUUUAUAAAUUAUGAUUUAAAAAAUAAAAAUAUGAAAUGAUGUUGUUUUAAAUAUUUUUCUAAACAAUGUUAUUUUAAUUAUAUAUAUAUAUAUAAAUUUAGUAAAACUUGAUGUAAACCAUAUCUUGGGUUAAUAAAUUACUAGAUUGACAAAUCAAGCAAAAUCAAGUUUUAUAACUAUGGUUGUAAAUGCUAAGUUGUUUGGUGAAAAGUGGUACUAAAAUAUUAUGAGUAUUUGAAAGUGUUUUAUCUUUUAUUUUUAUAUGUGUUUUAAAAGUGCAUCUCAUUUGAAAAAAAUAUUAAAUUAAUGUGUUUUUUGCUUUUUUAUAAUUUUAAUGUCUUGAUGUUAGAAAUAAAUAAAAAAUCUAAAAAAACUUAUUUAAUGCAUUUUGAAGUAAAAUUAUUUUUUAAAAAUACUUUAUAUCAUAGUACCAUACAUAUUUGUAAUGAAUACUACAAACAACUUCCUCUCUGUAUCUUUGACUUGAAGUUGAAAUAUUUAAAUGACAUAUUAUACUAUAACUUAAAAUGCGUGAAUUUUUUUACUAUAGAGGCAAUUAUUGUUUAUGCACACGCAAAUCACUAUGAAUAGAAUUGUUCUGCACUAUGCAUUUGUUAAAAUUUUAUUUUGGUCCUUAAAGUUUUUUUCUUGAUGAUUUAAUUCUAAUUAAAGGCCAAUUGAUUGUAAUUUUUUAGGAAAAGGUGGGGUUGAAAGAAGAGGGACUAUAAUGAAAAAGGUGUCAAACAUGGAUGGCAUGCCAUAAGUUUCAACAAAAAAUACACUUUGAUCCUCAAACUUUAAAAAUAACAUAAAUUAUACAAUUUCAGUACCUCAAUAUUUUUCAAGUUUAAGUUUUGUACAAAAACUUAUUUUUAUUAUUUUUUAGUUCCUGACUAGACAGAUGAGAGAAAAAGGUCGUCGAAUUACAGAAGUAGUAAAAGAAAAAUAUCGUUGAUACCGAUUUAGGUCAUCAAAACAGUCAAUAUUUGUGUCAAAUGGUUCCAAUUGAUGAUGAGAAUUUAUAUUAAGUAUUUUUUUGCCCUAAAAGUCUUUGAAAAUACAUAUACAAGCUCAAUUUGAAUUUUGGUUUCUGGUUUAUUUUAGUUUUUGGGGUGGUUUUUUUUUUCCCCAAGAUAAGUUUAUCAUAGUUUUAAUGUUUUCUAGGUUUAUAUUCAAGCCACCUGCCCUAAAUGAAGCAAAAAAAUAAAAAUAAAGACCCAAUCGACCAAUCCUUCUAGGGCAAGUCUAGGCACGAGCCUUGAAGAAAUGGGCUAGUCAGGUUAGUCAGGCCCAACAACAUCUAGUUUUUUUCUGUUUUUUAAUUAAUGCUUUUUACUUUAUUUGUAUUUAGAUUAAUAUCUCUUCUCUAUUUUAUUUUGUUUAAAAAACCUCUUUUAAAUUAGUUAAAAAAAACAGGUGUUUUGAAAGAAAAAAAAGUUUGAAGCCCAAUUUUCCAAUCAUCAGAAUAUUUUUUUUCAAGUCACCCUACCCCAAAUGCAGCAAAAACAAUAAAGGCCCAGUCUCUCCAUUUUUCAGCACAAGUCCAGGCACGAGCCUUGAAAAAAUAAGCCGAACAAGCUAGCUUGAUACAAAAGCGUCUGGUUUUUUUUGUUUUUUUAAUUAAUAUUUUUUUAUUUUAAUAUUUUUUAUUUUAUUUGUAUUUAGAUUAAUAAUUCUUCUCUUUUUUAUUUUGUUUUGAAAGCUUCUUUUAAAUAACAAUUAUUUUUUAGUUAUAUAUAUAAUUUUUGAAAAAAAAUUUCUUAUUCAUCUAUAAUCUUUUAUAAUUUUUUUUAAUAUUUUGUAUAUAUGAACUUUGUUUUGAAGAGGGGAAAAAAUUUAUUUGCAGAUAAUAUAUUGCAUAAUAUUUUUUUAUUUAAAUAAUUAAUGUGUAUUUAUUUAUAUUAUCAUUUAAUUGAAUAAAAAACCAUUUAACUACUUAGAAAAUUUUUAUAUAAACAAGUUUAACCAUUUUUAUAUAACAUUCUACAGAAAAGUUUGUGCUGGGAAGACCCCCGGCAUGUAAUCUAGGGAGAUUUGUCUUAACCAUAUCCUCUCAGUAAAGUUUUGGGAUCUAAGAUCCCUGCCACAUUAACAUCAGAGUGUUUAGAUUUGUGGUUUAGCGUAUUUUUUAAAGUAAUAUUAUUUAAAAAUGUAUUAAAAUAAUAUUUUUAAAAUUUUUUAACAAACAUAUAAAAAAAACUAAAAAGUAUUAUUUUAAAAAAUAAAAAUACGGUUCAACUUUAUCUCCGCGGCACACCACAAAUACAAACACAAAUUACUCGGUAGAAUGCAAGUAGAGAAGUUAUAUAGACAAGUUAAACCAUUUAACUGACUUCAUUGUCACACUCAGGAGAGUUGGGUUGCAGAUCAUACGCAAUUCAUGCUGCUGAAUAUUAUAACAGAACGAUAGUAUACUAGUUUAAAGGAUUUCAUAUUCGUAUUUAAUUAUUUAAUUAUUUUAUUUUAUUUGUGGGGUGUACCUAAAAAUGAGUUACAACAUAGUGCAUAGCGGGGAUAGGCGGAGCUUGAGCGUCAAGCAAGGUACGAUCAAUGAACAGUGGGCUGGUAAGAGAUAGUCCUCUUGCUAUUUCGGACCACGAGUUCAUAAAAUGGAUUGCAGAAGUUCCAUCUCCCAAGAUAUGGUGUAAGCCAACUCCAAGACAUACUCCUCCACAUUUAAAGAAGGUUGCCUAUUAGUCGUGGCGGAGCCAGAGUAUUUAAAAUGAGAGUACAUAUUAAUAAACAAAUAAUGAUAUUCAUAAUAUUGAAGUGUGCUUCCUUCUAGAAACUAAAAUUAAGAUUUGCACAGAUUCUCUUAUUUUUCGUGUUUGGAAUAAUAGCAAUAUUAAUUGGGCUUGUAACGAGGCUGAAGGUAGUAGAGGGGGUAUGAUUGCUCUUUGGGAUGAUACUAAAUUUCAGGUUUCAUCAGUUGAAUAUGGUUACGGGUGGAUUGGUCUAUACGGUCAGCAUAUGCAAAGUGGUUUUAUCUGUGCUAUUGUUGGUGUUUAUGCCCCUUGUUCUAUGUCAGAAAAAAAGGGAUCUUUGGAAGAACUUGUGUAUCCUUAGACAUGCCUUCCCUAUUCCGUGGUUGAUGGUGGGAGAUUUUAAUGAGACUUUGAAUCAGAUUGAUAGAAGCAGUGGCUAUCUUCAUAUCAAGGGCUCUUCAGCUUUUAGGAAUUUUCUGGAUUCUUGUCACCUUAUUGAGUAUCAACUGGCUGGAGGUUACUUCACUUGGUUCAGGAAUUGCUUGAUGAGCAAACUAGACCGUGCUUUCUCAGAUGAAUCCUUUCUUCUACAAUUCUCAAAUGUAAUGCUCCAUCGAUUACCCAGAGAAAUGUCAGACCAUUGCCCCUUGCUUGUUUCUGAUUCCCUCCUAGAGAGCGGUUAUCGGCCUUUUAAAUUUUUGGACUGUUGGCUUCAAUUUCCUAACUUCAAAAAUAUUAUUAGAGGCUUUUGGUUUGAUGGGUGUACAACAUUCCCAGGACGUUUCAGAUUUAUUAAGAAGCUUAGCUUUGUAGCAGCUCAACUUCGGCGAUGGAACAAAGAUGAUUUUGGUGAUCAGGAGUACAAGCUUCAGGUUGUGAUUUCCCAAAUUGAUGAUCUAGAGAGAAAACAGGAGGCUGAUCCUCUAUGUCCCUCAGAUCACCUCAAGCUUGAAUCUCUUAUAAAGGAUAAAUGGACCUACAGUAAUAGAGUUGAAUGCAAGUGGAGGCAGAGAUCUAGACAGUUGUGGUGCAAGCUAGGGGAUCGUAAUACCAGGUUUUUCCAUUUGAUAGCUAACUUCAGAAGAGCUAAAUCUCAUAUUAUGAUGAUCAAUCAUAAGGGGGCUGAACUCCGGUCAUUACCAGAAAUCAAAUCUGCUGCUGAUUAUUUUUUAAUCUGUAUAGAGCUCCAAUUGGGAAGAAAGCAGAGAUGGGUCAAAAAGGUUAAAUUCAAAGUUGUCUCUUUGGCUAGAGCGAGAUGUGACAUUGGAUGAAAUUAAAAGAUGUGUGUGGGAUUGUGAUGGUUCUAAGAGUCCUGGUCCAGACGGUUUCAAUUUUAAAUUCUAUAAGCUCGCUUGGGAUUUUAUUGCAGAAGACUUAUUGGACCUGAUCACUGAAUUUUUUAGAACAGGGUCUAUGCCGAAAGGGGUUAACCUCUCCUAUAUCACUUUGGUGCCGAAAAGAAAGGUUACUAUGGAAUUCAAAGAGUAUCGCCCCAUUAGUUUGAUCCAUGGUAUUUACAAGAUUAUUGCGAAGAUUUUGUCCAGCAGAUUAAAGGAAGUAAUAGGCAGCUUGAUUAGUGACAAUCAGACUGCUUUUAUAGCAGACAGACAAAUUGUUGAUGGUUUUAUGGUAGCUAAUGAAGUGGUUUAUGAUCUAAAAAGAAGUCGAAGAUCGGGUCUCAUCUUCAAGGUUGAUUUCCAAAAAGCUUUUGAUUCAGUUCUAUGGGAUUACAUUGAUGAGGUGAUGACUUACAUGGGUUUUGGUGCUAAAUGGAGAGGGUGGAUUUCCUCUUGCUUGUCUACUAGUCAGGUUUCAGUCUUAGUCAAUGGCUCUCCUUCCCCAGAGUUCAAAGUGGGGCGAGGUAUUAGGCAAGGUGAUCCCCUAUCUCCCUUUCUUUUUAAUAUUGCUGCUGAAGGUCUAUCUGUUCUCUUCCAACGUGCGGCAUCCUCAGACAUCUUUCAGGGUAUUGAUUUUGGCUCCAAUAACUUCUUAAGUCACCUUCAAUAUGCAGAUGACACUCUUGUCUUUAUGCCAGCUAGUUUGCAUGCCCUCCAGUCAGUUAAAAGAGUCUUAAGGUGGUUUGCUCUAUGCUCAGGCUUGCACAUUAAUUUUUUUAAGAGUUCUCUUAUAGGAAUCAAUGUUGAUGACUCCUGCUUGGAUGAGUUUGCAAAAUCAGUUUACUGCAGGCAUGAUUCUCUUCCAUGUAAUUACCUGGGAAUGCCUUUGGGGUCUAACCCUAGAAGGAUUUCAACAUGGAAACCCGUCAUUGAUAAGUUUCGAAAGAAACUCACUUCGUGGAAAGGGAGAAUGUUAAGCAUGGCCGGUUGCAUUUGCCUUAUCAAAAGUGUGUUGAACUCCCUUCCUUUGUACUUCAUGUCCAUCUUCCUUAUGCCAAAAGGUGUGUGUCGCUUACUUACUUCCAUCCAACGCAAAUUCUUAUGGUCGGGAACUGUCAAAAUGAGAAAAAUUUGCAAAGUCCAAUGGAGCGUGGUUGUUAGAGAUAAAGAUAGGGGUGGCCUUGGGAUUAGGUCAUUGAUAGCCAAGAAUAAAGCAAUGAUUUUCAAGUGGAUUUAGAGGCUCUCUCUUCCUGGUAAUGAGCUGUGGAAGAAGAUGAUAUUCAACAAAUUCAAGCCGGUGUUUGAAAAUGAUUUCCCUAUUUUUAGUAGAAGAUUGUCUUGUAUCUGGAGGGAUAUAACAUCCCUUAUGACCACAACAGACUCUGUCUCUUCAGCUUUAGCCAAUAAUUGCAGAUUUGUAGUGGGAAAUGGCUCUCUGACUCGAUUCUGGUAUGAUGUUUGGUUUGAUAGCUCUCCAUUGAAAGUCAUCUACCCUCGACUCUACAUUCUUACCACUAAACCGAAUGCCACAAUUGCUGACAUGGGAAUUUGGGAGCAAGGAGAAUGGAAGUGGGAGUUAGCUUGGAGGAGACAAUUGUUCCUCUUUGAAACUGAGCAGGUCGUCUACCUUCUCUCAUCUCUAGAAAGCUUUCGAAUAAAGGCAACAACUUUAGAUAAAAAAGUCUGGUCCUCUUCAACAGAUGGAGGGUAUACAGUUAAAACUUGUUCUCUACUUAUUGACAAGAUUGUGAAUCCAGGGCUUAGAACUUUCAAGGCUUCGAUAUGGCAAAAAGGGGUCCCUCCUAAGGUUCAAUCUUUUCUUUGGCUAGCUGUUCAGAAUAGACUAUGCACUAAGGAUUUCUUACUUGACCGUAAUAUAAUCCCAGUUGAUCAAGCCUUUUGUAUCUUUUGUGAAAAUGAGAUUGAGACUUCAAAUCAUCUUCUCCUCCAUUGUAGACCAGUGUGGAAAUUAUGGAUGAAAUUCUUGGAUUGGUGGGGUAUUAGUGGUUGCCUUCCCUGCUGUGUGGAUGAUCUUUUACAUCAAUGGCCCAACCUAGUGUUCGGAAAAUUCCAGCGUAAGGCUUGGUCUAUGCUUUCUUGUUGUGUUAGCUGGAGUAUAUGGCUUAUGAGGAACAAGGUAAUCUUCAAUGAUGGAACUGCGACCUUCGAAGAUAUUUUCUCCUUAAUUCUUUAUCGCCUCUCAAAUUGGCUCAAGUUUGUAGAUAAGUUCUUCAUGGCUACUGGCACUACUUUAAUUAUGGGUCCUGAAGGUAUUAUAGAUUGGUCUAACACCAAAUAAAGGCUUUUAGCAUGGCGUAUCAACUUCUUCAUUCCUAAUGUCCUUUUUCAGUUAUGUAUCUGUUGACUUUCUUUUCCUUUCUUUUUGUGUUUGUUUUUUGUUAUUGUGAUUUUUUUUUUUCAUGUAUCUUGUUUUUGGCUACCUUCUGGUUAGCCCUUUCAAUAUAUCGACUUAUUCCAAAAAAUAUUAAUAAACAAAUAUUAUAUUAUAUAGAUAUAUAUUAAAAAUCAAUUCGAAACAAAUAUAUUAAUUUAUUUAAAAUAAAAUUAAUUUAAAAAUACUUUUAAAAUGAAAAAACUUAUAUUAUAAUUAUUCUCUUUAAAUUUUCAUAAUAAAAAACAUAUUAAUUCAUCAAAACUCAUUUUACACCCCAUUACCAUGUAGCAUGCUGUAAAUAAUACAUGAAUAUGGAUCAUCAUUGAUAGUUUAAAUUUAUCAUGAUAGAUCAUUUUUAAAAAUAAAAUAAAUAUUUUUUUCUUUUUUUUUAAACCAAUCUUUAAUUUUGCAACUAUCAAUAUUUACUUAUUGAAAACAAUUGAAAUAUUUGUUUGUUUAUCUCAUGAAAAAAUUUAAUUUCAUACCGUAACCAAUUCAAUUAGAAAUAAUAUAAUUUUUAAUUAAUUCAAAAUAAUUAAAUCAAUACCUAUUUUUCAAAACAAUUCAAAAAAAAUUAAAGGGGCAAUUGCCCCCUUAAUCUCCCUAUGUGGCUCCGCCACUAAACACAUUUUUCAAACUCAAUAUAAAUAAAAAAAAACUAAAAAACUAGUUUUUUUCAUUUUCAAGAUACAAAAAAUAAAUACUUGGAUUUGAUUUUUUAGGUUAUUUGUGGUGAUAAUAGUGACUGAAAAUUGAAAUAAGAUAAAGGUGAGAAGAGUAAUAAAAAAAAUUGAAUUUAGUAUUUUAAACAUAUAAAUUCAAUUUAUUUGUCAAUUACAAUAGAAUUAAUUCCAAACAACCUCUGAAUAAAACCAUUAUAGGCUGAAUAUGUACCAUUAUUAAAACCUCAACUACACAGUCACCAAAACACUCUUCUUUUCUCUUCCUGUCAUAUUGUCUGUCCUCGAUUUUAUGCCUUGCGUAGUCUUGAAAAAAUAAGGCCUUGAACAAAAAAAUAUUUGGAUAUGAUAUUUUGGGUUAUUUGUGGUGUUAGCAGUGAAGGUGAUAAGGAUAAUAUAAAAAACAAGAUAAAUUAAAUUUAGUGUUUCAAAACAUAUAAUUAAUUUCAAUUUACUUAUUAAUUAAAUUCAAAUUUAAUACAAUAAUUAAAUUCAAUUACAAUAAAAUUAAUUUCAAACAACAUGUAAAUAACAUUAUUAAGUGUGAUGUUGAAAAAAAAAACACAACAAAUGAAGUUAUACCGUAUAAAUCAUGAACUUGCGAAUUAGAAAUCGUAAAAGAACUUCUUGAAGAGUUCCAUGUGAUGGCUUUCUAGGCAAAUAAAUAUCAUUAAGCUCCCAUCAUUAUUUGGGCAUCGAGCAAUGUAUGCCAUGCCUUCGAAGCCAACAAUUGCGGGCCCCAUAAAAGAGGGUCGACCCCAACCAAAGUCAGCAUCAUAUAUCGGCAUUGUCAUCCAACUCACAACAUUGAUGUUUGGAUUAUUAAAUGUGUGUGGCCCUCGCUUCAAAGCUUCUAAAUCAGUCUGGACCUGCAAAUAAUCAAUGGCUGAUCUCAAAUAUUCAUUGUCCAUUCUUUUCAAUGCUCCACGGAUUUUCGCUAUGGUAUGCACCAAUGGCUUUGAUUGCAUUUCGCCUGAUAAACCUAAAAUUGCUGUUGUGAAAAGAACAUUGCCACAGUAUCCGGCUGGCAAUGGUGGGUUCAAUCUUGAUCGCCCAUCUGUUGGAAUGUGUAGUUUUGUUGCUUGGUCGUUGGAGAUUCCACGUGCCUUGCAGGUGCAUUGCCAAAUAUGUGCUGCUAGGGUUUCAAAGGUGCUAUAGUUGAUAGUGCCAUCACCAACGUCUUUUCUAGACUUGUUUCUUAGGGUUCGGAGUUGAUCACAUGUGAUGGUUAGGAUUUUUGCACAAGUGGGUUUCGGAUUU
rnacentral:lncRNA from 1 species